UGCCAAAAAAUCCAAAUUUAUAGUAUCUGCCUUGUAAUUCUGUUAUUUUGUAACUUUGUUUUGUGGAAAAGUAGUAUAUGAAUUAUGAUGAAUUGUGUUUUAUGAAAUCAGCUAUCAAGUUAGUAUGUUUAGGAAUUUUCCUUUUUUUUUUUAUUGCAAAUAUAUGCUGAUUUUUGGCUCCAACAACCAAAAUCAAAAUAACGAGCCGAGGGCAUGUACCAUGUGUUGUCGGGGUCAAUGGCUCUUCCCUGAGUCUGGUAGGUAUAGCAUCAGUCAAUUAUGGGCAAAUUAUUAGCUGC
rnacentral:misc_RNA from 1 species